AUCAACCGAGAUUCCCCCAGUAGCGGCGAGCGAACGGGGAGGAGCCCAGAGCCUGAAUCAGUGUGUGUGUUAGUGGAAGCGUCUGGAAAGGCGCGCGAUACAGGGUGACAGCCCCGUACACAAAAAUGCACAUACUGUGAGCUCGAUGAGUAGGGCGGGACACGUGGUAUCCUGUCUGAAUAUGGGGGGACCAUCCUCCAAGGCUAAAUACUCCUGACUGACCGAUAGUGAACCAGUACCGUGAGGGAAAGGCGAAAAGAACCCCGGCGAGGGGAGUGAAAAAGAACCUGAAACCGUGUACGUACAAGCAGUGGGAGCCUCUUAAUGGGGUGACUGCGUACCUUUUGUAUAAUGGGUCAGCGACUUAUAUUCUGUAGCAAGGUUAACCGAAUAGGGGAGCCGAAGGGAAACCGAGUCUUAACUGGGCGUUAAGUUGCAGGGUAUAGACCCGAAACCCGGUGAUCUAGCCAUGGGCAGGUUGAAGGUUGGGUAACACUAACUGGAGGACCGAACCGACUAAUGUUGAAAAAUUAGCGGAUGACUUGUGGCUGGGGGUGAAAGGCCAAUCAAACCGGGAGAUAGCUGGUUCUCCCCGAAAGCUAUUUAGGUAGCGCCUCGUGAAUUCAUCUCCGGGGGUAGAGCACUGUUUCGGCAAGGGGGUCAUCCCGACUUACCAACCCGAUGCAAACUGCGAAUACCGGAGAAUGUUAUCACGGGAGACACACGGCGGGUGCUAACGUCCGUCGUGAAGAGGGAAACAACCCAGACCGCCAGCUAAGGUCCCAAAGUCAUGGUUAAGUGGGAAACGAUGUGGGAAGGCCCAGACAGCCAGGAUGUUGGCUUAGAAGCAGCCAUCAUUUAAAGAAAGCGUAAUAGCUCACUGGUCGAGUCGGCCUGCGCGGAAGAUGUAACGGGGCUAAACCAUGCACCGAAGCUGCGGCAGCGACACUAUGUGUUGUUGGGUAGGGGAGCG
rnacentral:rRNA from 1 species